AAAUGCUCUAGGUACGCCCCUGAUCAGAAGCACCCAUGAUUUCAACAGAGUGUCUGAUUCAAAGCUGUACAAAUAUACAAACAGUUUCAACAGUCACACCAAUCUCCUUAUCACCUGCAUCACAUGGCACAAUUACUAGGCCCAAACACGCACACACAGGAUCCUCACACACUCAACAAUAUCACGACGUCGCAUACACAAGUAAAAUCAAAAAGUCUCACCAAACACUAUAUACUCAUCACGGUAACUAUUAAUCAAACCAUACAACAAUGAAUCAACCUAAACUAAGCGACUACAUAACAUUUCAGCAAAAUCGUCUUUACAGUCAGAGGUUAUGAUACGGUUAGCAAGUAUUAUACAGUUUAGACAAUUAUGGUUUUAAUGUUACAAGGUCAGUUAGUAAUAGUUAAAGUGUUACACAUACAACGUUAAACAGUACUUUUUAGUAUUUUUCAUGCAGAAUCAGUAGUUAUGGUACCAGUCAGUGGUUAUGGUACCGUACGCUAUUUUACACUAUACACACAAUUUACAUGUCCGCUAAACUGCAGAGCUCAAGCUUUCUAGCAGGACGUAAAUUUUCACCAAUUCCAACGUAUUUUACAAUCUUUACAACAAAACCAACUAUUCUAACUAACUUGAUCCAAGGAUAAAUCUGACUGCCAUUCUGGGGUCAAGAAGGAAUUUUUUUCCUAGCUUGUUGCAAAAUUGUACUUCAAACUGGGUUUUUUGCCUUCUUUUGGAUCAACAGUAAAAAACAAAUGUGAGGUAGGCUGAACUUGAUGGACGCAAGUCUCUUUUCAGCUAUGUAACUAUGUAACUAGCCAGCACCUCGCGGUCUAGUGAACAAAAUAUACAACAGAAUUCAACUAGCCUUCGCUGCCUAGGCACCACGAUCUAGUGGACGGAAUUUACACCAGGAUCCACUAGUCUAUAUAUUCUAUUUAUGGUCUAGUGGCGGAAUUUACAACAGGACACACUUAGCCAAGAUAGUGAGACCUAGC